GACGAACGCUGGCGGCGUGCUUAACACAUGCAAGUCGAACGGAAAGGCCCCCAUCUUGGUGGGGGUGCUCGAGUGGCGAACGGGUGAGUAACACGUGGGUGAUCUGCCCUGUACUUCGGGAUAAGCUUGGGAAACUGGGUCUAAUACCGGAUAGGACCAUGGUUUAGUGUCUCAUGGUGGAAAGAUUAUUGUUUUGGUGCAGGAUGAGCUCGCGGCCUAUCAGCUUGUUGGUGGGGUAAUGGCCUACCAAGGCGUCGACGGGUAGCCGGCCUGAGAGGGUGGACGGCCACAUUGGGACUGAGAUACGGCCCAGACUCCUACGGGAGGCAGCAGUGGGGAAUAUUGCACAAUGGGCGCAAGCCUGAUGCAGCGACGCCGCGUGGGGGAUGACGGCCUUCGGGUUGUAAACUCCUUUCGUUAGGGACGAAGCCGCACUUUUUUUGGGUGUGGUGACGGUACCUUUGUUAAGAAGCACCGGCUAACUACGUG
rnacentral:rRNA from 1 species